GCAAACUUCGUGCCAGCAGCCGCGGUAAUACGAAGGGUGCAAGCGUUAAUCGGAAUUACUGGGCGUAAAGCGCGCGUAGGUGGUUUGGUAAGCGAUAUGUGAAAUCCCCGGGCUUAACCUGGGAACUGCAUGUCGAACUGCCAGGCUAGAGUAUGGUAGAGGGGUGUGGAAUUUCCGGUGUAGCGGUGAAAUGCGUAGAUAUCGGAAGGAACAUCAGUGGCGAAGGCGACACCCUGGACCGAUACUGACACUGAGGCGCGAAAGCGUGGGUAGCGAACAGGAUUAGAUACCCUUGUAGUC
rnacentral:rRNA from 1 species